GAUGAACGCUGGCGGCGUGCCUAAUACAUGCGAGUCGAGCGAACAGAUAAGGAGCUUGCUCCUUUGACGUUAGCGGCGGACGGGUGAGUAACACGUGGGUAACCUACCUAUAAGACUGGGAUAACUUCGGGAAACCGGAGCUAAUACCGGAUAACAUUUGGAACCGCAUGGUUCUAAAGUGAAAGAUGGUUUUGCUAUCACUUAUAGAUGGACCCGCGCCGUAUUAGCUAGUUGGUAAGGUAACGGCUUACCAAGGCGACGAUACGUAGCCGACCUGAGAGGGUGAUCGGCCACACUGGAACUGAGACACGGUCCAGACUCCUACGGGAGGCAGCAGUAGGGAAUCUUCCGCAAUAGGCGAAAGCCUGACGGAGCAACGCCGCGUGAGUGAUGAAGGGUUUCGGCUCGUAAAACUCUGUUAUUAGGGAAGAACAAAUGUGUAAGUAACUGUGCACGUCUUGACGGUACCUAAUCAGAAAGCCACGGCUAACUACGUG
rnacentral:rRNA from 1 species